CAGCAUCAUCCUCGCAUACAACCGCCCUUUCCCUGGGAAACAAGGAGGCAGGCUCGAGCCAUUGGAUGAUAUCUGAUAAACGCGAGCUGUUCCUGUGCUGUCAGAUUGGCGGCACCCAGCCGCGUCGCUACGCGCACCGAUCAUGCGGGAACAAUGUGAGCUCUCGUCUCCUCCUCUUCAGCUAGCCCCUAGUCAAGAGGUGUUGUCGUGGUGAGACGGCGUUUUGUCGGGAGUAGAGGGACAGUUUUACUGCAACGCUAUCUCCAUAGCUCCGAAUGAGAGCAAGUGACCCGGAAGAAAGGUUGUUGCCUUGCUUUUGCCUGCCCGUGCACGGUGUAGGAGCAACGUCCAUGCGCCGUUUGCUAAUUUGAAAUUGGACCGAGCCAAUUGAGGACGUCGAGGGCAGGUGUGCGGUGUCAUUCGUAAUUCUGCUGGCCAAAAGCGUAUACGCGGUCCAUUUUCCCGUCUCAUCUCAGAUGUGUAUGGACUUUAAUACCGGCCAAGCAGGCUCCUGUCGACGAGGUUGAUACAGUAUUUUGUUGCAGAGCGAAUUUCUUUCAGAUGUCUCCGUGUUCGCUUUGAGGAACGGACGGACUAGGCUCUGGAUUUAAAGCCUGAGGAGGAGUGCGGAAUUCUCCAGAACGAGUGAAGAAUUGAGAUCACUGAUGCCCGUCUCUGCCGAAAAAGUCUCCCAGCUUUUGAUUUUUAGGACGGAAAGUGUACCCAGCUACGGUAGAACUGUUAGGAGACCUCUUCAACAUGAAUACAGACAGUGGAGGAUGCGCUCGCAGCAGCGCUGCCUUGCUUCUCACCCUCUCCCACAUGAAGCGGGUCCAGAGCGUCCCCAAUCUGGCUACAGGGAGUGAUUCUCACUCGUCAGAUUCAGAUGCAUGGAGGUCGCGUAGCACCGACGGCCUGAGGAACGGCGACGACGUCACUUCUUCCCUGGCCGCCAAGGGCUUCCGCAGCGUCAGACCCAACCUGCAAGACAAGAAGUCCCCCACACUGGCUGUCAAUCAAGUCCCCCUCCCGCCCCCUAGGAGAGAGAGCUACCCCUCCCCCGCUACAGGUGCUAUCCCCCCCUCCUACACCUCCCUCCUAGCCGAGACCCUCGGACCCGGGAUGCUAGCUCUCUCCAACGAGAAGGCCGUCCUCAAAGAGUCUUACACAGUCAAGAGCAGGUCUUCUUACUCCCACCAUCAGACUACUACCACCACUUCUGCACCCCAAUCUGAACCCGAACCCAACCCCCAGCCCCUACAAACAAACCCUCAGUCUCCCCUCGCCAACCCCAUCCCCAAUGACACCAGCAAGGUCAAAGCCUCCACAGCUACUUCCUCCACCACCCUCCAGCUUCAGGCUGCAGAGCGCAAGGUGUCCUCCCUCAGACUCACCCCCCGUCACCAUCCCUGAUCCCCCCUCCCACCAGCCCGUCCCCCAGCCUGAGACUCUCACCACCUCCCUUCCUCCCCCUAACCUUCCCCCCCGUACAGACUCCUCCAUCGGCCCCCAAAGCCAGCACACAGCCUCCCUCUCCGUCCAGACGGCCCCGCGGAACCCCAAACCACCGGGCUCCAAGGCCCCUACCCUGGAGCCCAAGGCCCCAGCCCCAGCUUCUGACCCUGGGGAGGGCAGGAAGGGCCAAGCUAUUCAAGUGGCCAUGAAUGGAAGUGCGCCCCACCCCCAGAGACCCUCCUCACCCCCGGCCUACCCCCCUCUCCCCGCCUCGUUCAGCCCGGGGGUGGUUCACAUGCAGAGUCGGAGCGCAGAAGGUUCAGAGUCUGUGAUGUCAGGCCACACCAGCGUGAGCAGCACGGUGCCCAUCGCCCGCUUUUCAGAGGAAGAGAAGAGGGUGUCUGUCAUCAAGGCGCCCCACUACGAGGGCAUCGGCCCCGUGGAUGACACGGGCAUCCCAAUCGCCAUUCGCACGACGGUGGAUAGGCCGAAGGACUGGUACAAGACCAUGUUCAAGCAGAUCCACAUGGUUCACAAAGCAGAUGACGACUAUGCCGACUCGUACAACGCCACAUACACUGUCAGCGGUGACAGCGACACAUAUGGUCAGUCCUCCAACCCCACCGUGGCCUACCCUCCCCCCAGGACACAAACAUACCGGCCCUUGGCCAAGAGCCCGUCGGACAACGGAGGCCCCGGGACCUUCAGGGAGCCCUCCCCCGUGCCACCGCCACCCCCGCCCAAGCCCUCCCUCCUACAGCUGAGGUCCAGAGACAGCGACCGGGAGCGAGACUCGCCCGACACCAUGAAUCAGUGGGGCCCUCCCGAUAGGAAAGUGGACACUAGAAAGUACCGCGCUGAGCCCAGGAGUAUAUUUGAGUACGAGCCUGGGAAAUCAUCCAUUCUGGAGCAGGAGAGGCCGACCUAUAAGCUAAACCCAGAUGACAUAGAUUUAGAGAACGAGCCUUGGUAUAAGUUCUUUUCCGAGCUGGAGUUCGGCCGUCCGCCUCCUAAAAAACGUCUGGAUUAUAAUCCAGACAUCUGCCCUCGCCGACUCACAGAGACGUCGCUGUACUUCACUCCCACUGCUGACCGGGUUCCAGAGAGGCCGGCGAGUGCUGCCAGUGACUACAGGAAGAGGAGGAAGUCGGAGCCGUCAGGUGACCAGGGCAAGAACCAGGUCUCCCCAAAACCACCGGACCCUUACAAAGGCAGCAGCACACUGAGGAAACCUGCCAUCCGCUCCUCCCCCUCCUCCCCCUCCAGAGUCAAAGGUUUCCUCUCUCAUAGUGGGGUGACCACAGAAAAGAUUAGCGGUGGGGACACGUGCGAAAUGACCUGCUCCCCCCGUUUGAGCUCUUCCCCGGGCCCGUACCUCCGCUCCCCUCUCUCCCCCGUGCCCUCCAACCUCGCCCACCGUCGCUACGACGACGAUGCCAACCCGGGGGGAGCCUCUUCGCCCUCCUCGCCCCUCAAGCGAGCCAUCUGCUUCAAGAACGGCUGGCAGACGCGGCGGCAGGACGCCGAGACAUGGAGCAGCACAGAAGACACGCCGCCCUCGCCCGCAAAGCUGAAGUCUCGUAGCUGCGACAACCUGCUCAACGACAGGCACCCAGGGGGCACCGGUGGGCACAAGGCUACCCGUUCGGAGAGCGCCGGGUCACUGGUAUUCGACAACCCAUUGGGGCAAACCGCAUCAUCCUCUACUCGCUCCUUGCCUCACCCGCACCGACGACGUGCCCACGACGCGCCAGGCUUCCUGAAGCUCUACCGCAAGAUGCACCACAUCGACCGCGCCCAGCUGCUACCCUCUGACGUCAUCCGCUCGGUCCGUGCCCGCAUCCUGGAGCUGGAGCGGCAGCCGCACCUCUUCCCACGAAAGCUCUCCCCCUGGGGGCCGUCGUGGGGCCUGGAGGUUCCUCGCGAUACGGUGCCAAUGCGCAUCUCCACGUACGAGCAACUCAUCCAGAAGUCCAAGUCCAUGCCCGACUUGGGAGAUAGCGAGGUCCCAUCUGGCGCAACCACACCCGGCGGGUCAUCGUCCCGCGCCAGUAGUAGUGGGGGAGGAGGCGGCGGGGGCAGGGAGACACCCGGGUACCCCAAACGCCGUUUCUCCAUUGAGUCUCUGCUAGAAGAAGACAUUAAUAAUGGGAAUGGUAACGGGACGUCCCAUCACACUUUUGACCACCAUCACGCUCACCAGGGGGCAAGGAACCCGCCUGAGGGUCAGCCCCGCCUCGCUCUGGAACCCCACCACCGCGAUUUCCCCGACCCCCUCGUUUAUCGACGCGCCACUGUCCCGGGGGCCGAGUACUCUGCGUCAGAGCAGGAUGCAGCCGCCUCGGACCUCAGUGACUUUGUCCAAGUCGAAGGAUCCUCCUUCUGCAGCGAGAGCGACUUCGACCACUGCUCGCUCACCUCGUCAGUCGAGAGCUUCUACGGCCCCUCCUCUCACCACCACCUUCGACACCACCACAGCCACAGCCACCACAACCCCAGUCAUCAGUCUCUCGGUCAGGGUCAGGGCUACCAGCACCGUCACCUCAUCAGCUCGUGUAAAGGACGCUGCCCGGCCUCCAACACCCGCUUUACCACUAUGCUGCGCCACGAGCGGGAGCAGGCCCGCCAGGAGCUCCGGCAGAAACCCCCGCAGACACAGCAAACCAGACACGGGGGAAGGGGAGGGAGCGGAGGGGACCUCCAUGCCCUACCCCCCUCGUCCCAAGCAGCCCAAACCCAGCAGGGGAUGUCCAAACUGGCCUUCCUCAUCAGUCCCGUGCCUUUCCGAAGGAAAAAGGGUGAUUCUCCACCCACUUCGAGAAGGAGUAGUGGAGGUCGAAGUACCAGGCCCAAGUCUAAAGAAGCCGUCUAUGAAGCUUUGGAUGCGGCCUUGAGGGAUAUCUACGAACACAUCCAAGCGGAGCGAGGCCGGAGCGGCGCUAGGCUACCAGACGAUAGCAUCCUCCGGAGGCUACUGGCUGAGAUCCUCCCAGAUGUGCCCGAGAGGAGCUCCUCGUUGCGGGGACAGAGGGGGAGCCGCAAGUGGGGUCCCUCCUCGAGCUCCUCGUACCCCGACGGGAGUCCCACGGGGUACAGCUCGUCACCGCGGCUACAGUCGCCGCUAAGUACCUCUUAUAGUCUCCAUACAGAUGCCUCCAAUAACAACGACUUUGGAGAGGAGCCAGGCAACGCAGGUGGAGCAUGCACACACAUAUAUAUAUAUAUACACACACCAGCCCUCAGUCCAUCAUCUCCCUCCUCGACUCUCCCCAAGCAGGAUGCCUCCAGGGGGUACAGCACAACCACCAGCGACGGGGGAGGGGGGCAGACCAGACGAGCCACCCCGGACAGAGAGGUCUCCCAUAAGCAGAUGACCCAACUCAUUCUCUUCUCUCUCCUCCAUCAGAAACAGCCUGCCAGAGCUAUAUAUGACUUUAAGGCACAGACCGCUAAAGAGCUGACGUUCAAGAAGGGCGACGCGGUCAACAUCAUCAGACAGAUUGACAGCAACUGGUACGAGGGGGAGCACCGCGGACGACUGGGCAUCUUCCCCAUCUCCUACAUAGAGAAGAUGCCGUUGCCAGAUAAGCAGCAGCCGAUUAGGCCUCCUCCACCAGCACACGUCAGAGAGAUCGGGGAGGGGGUGGCCCGUUACAAUUUCAAUGCUGACACAAACGUGGAGCUGUCCCUCCGCAAGGGUGAGAGGGUAGUCUUGCUGAGACAGGUGGACCAGAACUGGUACGAAGGGAACAUCCCAGACACCACCAAGCAGGGCAUCUUCCCUGUGGCCUACAUAGACAUCGUCAAACGCUCGCCCUCCAAGAGCCCCGCCCCCUCCCACCAGCCAGACCCACACGGCUACCCCAGCAACAGGACACAGGGCUCCACUUCAAAUCAGCCAACCCGUCCUGUGUUUGUGCAGGAUUUGCUCCAUGGUGGCGGAGACCCGUUCCAGGCCCUGUACAACUACCUGCCCCGUAACGAGGAUGAGCUGGAGCUGAAGGAGGGGGACGUCGUGGACGUCAUGGAGAAGUGUGACGACGGCUGGUUUGUCGGGACUUCUCGACGGAGCAAGCAGUUUGGAACCUUCCCAGGAAACUACGUCAAGAAACUAUAAUGAUGAAUCCGGUCCACCCCCGCACCCUCUUUAAUUGGACCCUUCCAUCUCUAGCACAACCCAUAUUGGACACAACCAACCCGGAGUAAAAUGAAGUUGCUCCUAGACACUGAUUUGGGUCAGUUUUGCACUUUCCCCACCAAUGGUUAUGGUUAGGAUUGGGGGAGGUGGAGCUGACCCUAGAUCUGUACCUAGGGGAAGCCUCACCCCGGAACAACACGCCCCCACUGUCGGGUCAUCCAAGAAGCCUUUCCCAAGCGUGUGUGACGUCACAGCAAGUAUUUUGUUUUAGCUCUAACUAGCCAACUCUACAGGAGACUAUUCCACUAACUAAACGGUUAUUUUCUAAAUGAUGGAGUAGAGGUUGAAGAAGAUCCAUACUUUUGUAUUCCUGUCACCUCAGAUACCGAAGGAAGGGUAGCCAAACAAGAUGGCCACCUUUUUAGUGUUGACAUCUGCUGUUAUUUGAUUCAUUAGAUCUAUUUUGACCCAGUAAUGUAAUAACUUGCAUUGAUAAGUUGAUUGUGUAACAUUCAGAGAGGUCAAAUGUGGUAAAGAGCGAGUUAAAGAUGCCAAGUAAACUGCCACUCAGGAUUGCCUUGACAUCAUCAUGUCAGCCAUGUUUCUUUUCCCUUUUUCCUCAGUGUUAAAUGAGUACAGAGACCCCCCCCCCCCCCCCCCCUAAGCGUAUUAUCUGUAAUAGGAGGGCAUGGUAUUUUCAGAGCAGUAUUGUCAUAGGACAUUGCAACACAUUUUCAAUGUUUAGUCAUUUGGCAAAUGCUCUUAUCCACACCGACUUUCAAUAAGCACCACGAAACAACCACAGCGUUAUUAGUACAAAAAUCCUCAUCCGAUGUUACAUGUUCAUACCCCAACACAGGAACACUCACCUCUUUCCCCAGUGAAAAUGAUGAUGCUGUGUAAUCCAUGAUACCCAAAAGUGUUGCUGGAUACCACGGGAUAGAGUAUGACAUGUUUGGAGGCAAAUGCAUUGAUAUUGAAUGCAUAUAUGUACAUCCAGAGCCUUUUAUGCGCACCGGAAGGUUCUGGAUAUCUGCCCGCUAUGGGUCUACAGUCAAUUCCAGUUUUUUCAUUUUAGUGUUUGCAAACUCCUAUAUGGAUGAGUUAUUUCAAAUGUGGAAGUGGCAAUCGUUGAUAUUUCCUUUUGAACCCUUCUGCUUGAACAAGUACAGUACAUUUUGUACUUUUGAUGGAAGUAAUAUUUAUAGAUCUGGGAUUUUAUUGAUUGGUUGACUUGGCGUUUUAUCCUUUCUCUCUCAUGUAAAAAUGUCUGAGUUACACUACGGAUUUUACAAGUGAAAGCUAGAUUGGAUUGUCGAUAGGGCUUUGGGAGCUUUGAUACCUUUGGAAAAACAUGUGCAAAAGCAACUAGUUUUCCCCACUUGUUUCUGUAUGUAUAGAUGUUUAUAAUGGGGGAAAAGUAUUGAAUAUUGAUGAAAGGUCAUUUAGACGUCUCCGUCCAUAGAUAUAACUGAUGGAGCAGCAUCAGUUUCUCAGCUUACUUUGUGUACUUUCUUUUAGUUGAAGUGGCCUAAAGUUGACGUGUACUUUUGGCUAAUUUCAACCGCAGCAAAUCCCCUUGUCAUGUUUAAGAUAACGAGAAGAUAGGCCAAUUUUUGUUCCCAGUCAAGUCUGACAUUUUACAUUUGUCAAUAUACAACAAACGUUCAGGUCUCAACAAUAAAACAACCCUCCUUUUUUGAAAUGGUGUUUAUUUUAUUCGAUGGCGAGGUUUUCUUUUUACGAUUGCUGUUGAAUACCAUAUUAGGAAUGUUGCCACAUUCGUUGCCUUUUGUCCAAAAUGGGAUGUUUUACUUCACUCUAAUAUGAUCAGAUAAGCGGUGUAAAUUAAUUUGAUUGAAUUAUACAGUUAAGUUCCUGGAGUAGUUUUUUUCUCUAUAGGUAAUUCUGACGGCGACCUUUUUUACUGUCCGGGAUGAAUGAAACGAUUAGAGAGAGUGUCACUGCAAUAGCUUAUAACAAUGUAUUUGAAUAACAUUGGUUAGGCAUACUUUUUGUGUUCCAUGAAUAUGAUUUAUGACAUUUUGUUUUUGCCUUUUUCGUGUGUAAAUGAGUAUGUAUUCAUAUAGGAAGGACACUGCCUGCAGAACAAUCGUUUAAGCACCUUAAUAUGUAAUUACUUUAUUUUUUGGUUUCUGUCUUUGGUUGAUUUUGUUCUAGUUUAUUUUCCCCCUUUUCAUUCACUCUUCCCUGGGUCGUGUUCAUUUAGGCACCAAAAGAUAAACGGACUCCCUGGACAUGUCCAAUAAGAAAUGCACAUGUCCAUGUUCUGUUGCAAACGUUUCCCGUUGCUAUCCCCAAUGAACACGACCCUGGAAUGUGAGAGCACUGCGUGUCUGUUGGUGGCUUUUUUUGUACGUCUUUUGUACGGAGCUGUAAAUCGACGACACCGAUCCACUGCUUUAUAAACUCUUAUAUUUUUCUCACCCAC